GGUCAAGGAAAGGAACAGGGCUUUCCUGCCCUAAGCAGAUAAACAACCCUGGCCUGGGGAAGCCCUGCCAUGAACUGUCUUCCAGAGGCCCUGAGAUGUUCUUAUUGCAUCCAUUUCACAGAUGAAGAAUGGAGGUUCAGAAAGGUUAAGUAAUCUAUGCAGACGUCACCUGAGAGAAAGGAAGAGAAGGAGAAAGAGUGGAAGAGAAACAUCAACGUGUGGUUGUCUCCCAUGUGUCCUCUACUGGGGACCUGGCCUGCAGCCCAGGCAUGUGCCCUGACCGGGAAUCGAACCAGCAACCCCUUGCUUCACAGGCCCGUGCUCAAUCCACUGAGCUACA